CCUACGGGUGACAGCAGUGAGGAAUAUUGGUCAAUGGGCGCGAGCCUGAACCAGCGAAGUAGCGUGAAGGAUGACUGCCCUACGGGUUGUAAACUUCUUUUAUAAAGGAAUAAAGUGAGGCACGUGUGCCUUUUUGUAUGUACCUUAUGAAUAAGGAUCGGCCAACUCCGUGCCAGCAGCCGCGGUAAUACGGAGGGUGCGAGCGUUAUCCGGAUUUACUGGGUUUAAAGGGAGCGUAGAUGGGUGGUUAAGUCAGUUGUGAAAGUUUGCGGCUCAACCGUAAAACUGCAAUUGAAACUGGCAGGCUUGAGUGCAGUUGAGGUAGGCGGAAUUCGUAGUGUAGCGGUGAAAUGCUUAGAUAUCACGAAGAACUCCGAUUGCGAAGGCAGCUUACUAAACGGCCACUGACAUUGAUGCUCGAAAGUGUGGGUAUCAAACAGGAUUAGAUACCCUAGUAGUC
rnacentral:rRNA from 1 species